GAUGAAGAACGUAGCGAAAUGCGAUAAGUAGUGUGAAUUGCAGAAUUCAGUGAAUCAUCGAAUCUUUGAACGCACAUUGCGCCCCUUGGUAUCCCGAGGGGCAUGCCUGUUCGAGCGUCAUUAUAACCCCUCAAGCUCAGCUUGGUGUUGGGGCCUGCUGCACUGGCAGCCCUUAAAAUCAGUGGCGGCGCCAUCUGGCUCUAAGCGUAGUAAUUCUUCUCGCUAUGGAGUCCUGGUGGAUGCUUGCCAUCAACCCCCAAUUUUUCUAUGGUUGACCUCGGAUCAGGUAGGGAUACCCGCUGAACUUAAGCAUAUCAAUAAGCGGAGGA
rnacentral:misc_RNA from 1 species